rnacentral:misc_RNA from 1 species
GAUGUGUGCACAUUGUGUACUGGCGUUAUGCUGUCAUAAAAAGCCUAAUCCUACUACUACCAGUCCUAUUGUACCUGUGUGCCCAUUCUGUCGUAGCAACAUUGUUCAAUUAGAUGUUAUCAAGCUGGAAAAGGACGAUGGGACUAGCCACGAUAUUGUUUCCCCUUCAAAGCUUAGGAAGUCUAGGCGAUCAAGAAACUUCAGCGAGGGGAGUAGCAGUUUUAAGGGCUUAUCUGCAGUAAGCUCUUUUGGAAGAAUGGUUGGUCGUGGCUCUGGUAGAAUUGCUGCUGAAAACGAAUACAUUGAUAAGCCAAUAAUCCUUGACUAAUUGCAGAAUUUUGCAUCAAGACUUCCAAUUAGCAUGAUUUUUUAAGAGCAUCCUAAAUGGUAUAUAUCGAUAAAUCUCUCUCCAAUCUCUUGUUACCACAUUUUUUUACAGUUGAAAUAGAAGGAAUUCUUUGACAGUUGCCUCAUUUUUUGUUCUGUUUUGUCCUGGCUGAUGAAAAUUCAACAUUCUCUCGAUGUGUAAUGUUAUAGGAACAGUCCAUAAUAUAAAUAUGAAAGUCUAAUAAUUUGUGAAUGAAAAUGACAUUUCUUGCCAGUGAUGAUCAAUUGAAAGUUAGUGAAGUGUAAUAAAACCUUUGCUAAAGAAGGGCAUCUAUUU